rnacentral:lncRNA from 1 species
CUCUUUUAAGUGUUCCGAUAACAAGCAUCAAAAUUGUGUGACAGUAGCAUACUCCAAUUAAAAGAGUCCUCUGAUUCUUGAACUAUGAAAUAGUAUUAUCAGCAUUCACAAAAAUCUUCGUCUAUCAAGAAUAUAGAUGAAUCAAUAAAUUUAAGAAGAGCUAAAUUUUGUAAUUUUCAAUGAUUUCCUUGUUUCUUAUUUUUUCAUAAAACAAUUUUCAAGCUAGCACUGAUGAUGAUCUUUCUC